AGGAAUAUAGUUUAAAAAAAACAUUUAUUUUGCUAAUAAAAUUUAUUAAAUUUAAUUAUUCUUA
rnacentral:tRNA from 1 species